rnacentral:lncRNA from 1 species
CAUCCUUCAUGGAUCAAAUGAGCCCUGUUGCUUAUCCCACAAGAAAGCAAUCGUCGGAUCACGAAGGCAAACUUCACAUGCCUCAGCCGUGGCCUGUAAUGCCCUCUAGUCUUUCGUUAAAUAUAUUGGACUCUAAUACAAAAGGUCCUGCACAUGGUGGUGAUCCAACUUACCAAGCUCGAGGGAAUUUGAGGUACAGUGCAUUUGGUGAAUACCCUGCUCUGCAUGGUCAUAAAGUUGAGCAUUCACAUGGAAACUUGAUGCCGCCACCCCCACCUGCACCUGUCAACCAAUAUCAGAUUCCUUGUUCAAGAGAACUUAUGUUAAAACCAGUGCCAGCAAAAACAUUUGAGGCUGUGAAGUUAAAAGAUGGUGACUGUAAGCUAUUUGGCUUCUCACUUAUCAGUGGCCCUAUUGUACCAGAG